GGUGGCUUGGAGGGGUGGCAAGGUUUCACCCUAGUUGUGUUGUCUUGACCACCUCAGGCACACAAACGCUCGACCCAAACCUGAUUCCCUUAAAGGAGAAGAUGGAUCACAUCACUGCGGGCUGAGACGGAAUCUGCAUAACCGAGGAAAGCCUCGAACUAGGAAGAUGCCCAGUCAUGCACAUAGGAGAUUUAGCAUCAAAAUGGCUUCGACGGAGCAUGCUCAAACUGAACGUGAAGUGCUCUUGAAGGAAGGAGUUCAUAUCUGCUAGUUCAUCAAGUCUGAUCUGGGUAUCACUAUCAAGGGUUUCAGAGUUAGACUGAAGGAAGAUUUGUGCCACCUCAAGGAGAAAGGCAGGCCACACACACACGGACAGAAGAGAAGCUAUGUGGGCAGAAAUGCCACUGGGGGUGCCUGCGAGCCCGUUUUCUGAAUCUCAAACAUUCCAUUACUUUUAUAUUUAAAUUUAUCAUCAUCAUCAUCAUCAUCAUCAUCAUCUUUAAUCCACCGAGUCACAGUCUGUGGGAGCGAACUUCCUUUGCUGCUGCAUUGCCUGGCAGAGUUCGUCUUUUCUCAUGACUCCGGGACAAGACACCGGUAGUUUCGAGUUUGAUUUAUUUUUCUAGGAUGCUUUUUAUAUGGAUCCUAGGUGGUGUGCAUACAGUUAGAAUUUGGACACUGAUAUCAAUGAGGCCUUCUUUGCUGGCUCGUGCAGUGAAGGAAAGUACAGAGGAACCUGGUCACUGUCCCACGGCCCUGAGUUUGCCAUCACGAUUGGUCACUAUCCCACGAUCCAGAGCUCGCCAUCUGACUAUCGGUGUGGAAAUGGGGGCUUGGGAAAGCAAGCUCUUUGCUCCGGCUGUUAGCUGUUAUCCGUGUGACGUUGGUUCCAAACGUUAGGUUCCCAAGUUUAACUUGAAUUCUUUUCCUAGCACCAGAGCUGCAGCCAAAAAUAAUCCCUUUUCUUGGAAAAAGGAUGCCUGCUUCUAGACUCUCCCAGGCACUAUGAGGACCAAGAUAGCAGUAUUCGCACCCCAUCUCCAACGUGAGACCAGGCCCUUUCAGCAGCUUGUAAAGGAGACCCACAUAAAAAUAGCUGAGCCUCUCGUCUCCCUCACAUUCUCUAACUCAACCGUGCACUUUCAUUGUUAAGAAAACUCAAGUGUCGUAAAAACAAUCUGGCAAGAAAAUAAUCUUGAGAUCUGGUUUGGAAUGGAAAGGCCAAAUCUCAUUACCCCCAAAGCCUCUGGGGCAUUCACCUAGCAGCAGUCUCUGCUUCCCGACUCACUUGAUUCAAAUGUUCUU